GUGGGUAGCGGUGAAAUUCCAAUCGAGCCCGGAGAUAGCUGGUUCUCCCCGAAAUAGCUUUAGGGCUAGCCUCAAGGUGAGAGAUACGGAGGUAGAGCACUGAAUGUCCUAGGGGGUAUUGCACCUACCGAAGACUAUCAAACUCCGAAUGCCGUCAUCUUAUACUUGGGAGUCAGACUGUGGGUGAUAAGAUUCAUAGUCGAAAGGGCAACAGCCCAGAUCGUCAGCUAAGGUCCCUAAAUGUAAGUUAAGUGGUAAAGGAUGUGGGAUUGCACAGACAACCAGGAUGUUGGCUUAGAAGCAGCCACUCAUUCAAAGAGUGCGUAAUAGCUCACUGGUCGAGUGAUCCUGCGCCGAAGAUUUCCGGGGCUAAAACUUACUACCGAAGCUACGGCAUCAGUAAUGAUGGGUAGGGGAGCUUCCCAUACGGGUUGAAGCAUGACCGUAAGGACAUGUGGACAGGAUGGGAGUGAGAAUGUUGGCAUGAGUAGCGAGAUGUGGGUGAGAAUCCCACAGGCCGUAAACCCAAGGUUUCCAGGGGAAGGUUCGUCCGCCCUGGGGUAGUCGGGACCUAAGCUGAGGCCGAAAGGCGUAGGUGAUGGACAACAGGUUGAUAUUCCUGUACUACCGAUAACCAUUUGAGAGAUGGGAUGACACAGUAGGAUAAGCUAAGCACACUGUUGGUUAU
rnacentral:rRNA from 1 species